rnacentral:rRNA from 1 species
GACGAACGCUGGCGGCGUGCUUAACACAUGCAAGUCGAACGAUGAAGCCUAGCUUGCUAGGUGGAUUAGUGGCGAACGGGUGAGUAAUACGUGAGUAACCUACCUUUAACUCUGGGAUAAGCCUGGGAAACUGGGUCUAAUACCGGAUACGACCAAUCUCCGCAUGGGGUGUUGGUGGAAAGCGUUAUGUAGUGGUUAUAGAUGGGCUCACGGCCUAUCAGCUUGUUGGUGAGGUAACGGCUCACCAAGGCGACGACGGGUAGCCGGCCUGAGAGGGUGACCGGCCACACUGGGACUGAGACACGGCCCAGACUCCUACGGGAGGCAGCAGUGGGGAAUAUUGCACAAUGGGCGCAAGCCUGAUGCAGCGACGCCGCGUGAGGGAUGACGGCCUUCGGGUUGUAAACCUCUGUUAGCAGGGAAGAAGAGAAAUUGACGGUACCUGCAGAGAAAGCGCCGGCUAACUACGUGCCAGCAGCCGCGGUAAUACGUAGGGCGCGAGCGUUGUCCGGAAUUAUUGGGCGUAAAGAGCUUGUAGGGCGGUUUGUCGCGUCUGCUGUGAAAGGCCGGGGCUUAACCCCGUGUAUUGCAGUGGGUACGGGCAGACUAGAGUGCAGUAGGGGAGACUGGAACUCCUGGUGUAGCGGUGGAAUGCGCAGAUAUCAGGAAGAACACCGAUGGCGAAGGCAGGUCUCUGGGCUGUAACUGACGCUGAGAAGCGAAAGCAUGGGGAGCGAACAGGAUUAGAUACCCUGGUAGUCCAUGCCGUAAACGUUGGGCACUAGGUGUGGGGGACAUUCCACGUUUUCCGCGCCGUAGCUAACGCAUUAAGUGCCCCGCCUGGGGAGUACGGCCGCAAGGCUAAAACUCAAAGAAAUUGACGGGGGCCCGCACAAGCGGCGGAGCAUGCGGAUUAAUUCGAUGCAACGCGAAGAACCUUACCAAGGCUUGACAUAUACUGGACCGCAUCAGAGAUGGUGUUUCCCUUCGGGGCUGGUAUACAGGUGGUGCAUGGUUGUCGUCAGCUCGUGUCGUGAGAUGUUGGGUUAAGUCCCGCAACGAGCGCAACCCUCGUUCUAUGUUGCCAGCACGUUAUGGUGGGGACUCAUAGGAGACUGCCGGGGUCAACUCGGAGGAAGGUGGGGAUGACGUCAAAUCAUCAUGCCCCUUAUGUCUUGGGCUUCACGCAUGCUACAAUGGCCGGUACAGAGGGUUGCGAUACUGUGAGGUGGAGCUAAUCCCUAAAAGCCGGUCUCAGUUCGGAUUGGGGUCUGCAACUCGACCCCAUGAAGUCGGAGUCGCUAGUAAUCGCAGAUCAGCAACGCUGCGGUGAAUACGUUCCCGGGCCU